rnacentral:rRNA from 1 species
GAUGAACGCUGGCGGCGUGCCUAAUACAUGCAAGUCGAGCGAACGGACGAUAGGCUUGCUUCUCUGAUGUUAGCGGCGGACGGGUGAGUAACACGUGGAUAACCUACCUAUAAGACUGGGAUAACUUCGGGAAACCGGAGCUAAUACCGGAUGAUAUUUUGUACCGCAUGGUUCAAAAGUGAAAGACGGUCUUGCUGUCACUUAUAGAUGGAUCCGCGCUGCAUUAGCUAGUUGGUAAGGUAACGGCCUACCAAGGCAACGAUGCAUAGCCGACCUGAGAGGGUGAUCAGCCACACUGGAACUGAGACACGGUCCAGACUCCUACGGGAGGCAGCAGUAGGGAAUCUUCCGCAAUGGGCGAAAGCCUGACGGAGCAACACCGCGUGAGUGAUGAAGGUCUUCGGAUCGUAAAACUCUGUUAUUAGGGAAGAACAUAUGUGUAAGUAACUGUGCACAUCUUGACGGUACCUAAUCAGAAAGCCACGGCUAACUACGUG